AUUUAAGUAAUUUAAUUUAAAAUUUUGAUUUGUGGUAUCAUAUAUGUAAUAUUUAUUACCUUAAAUU
rnacentral:tRNA from 1 species